UUUCUUCUUUAAACAAAACCUCCAAAAACGACAGUUAGUGUUUACUUUAUAUGGUGAAUGCCUAUAUCCAUAAAACUUUUAAUUCAACCAAAAUUAUUAUUGAACAUCCUGUGAUAAUGUUUUACUAUUAUGAUUUGAAAACAAAUUUUGCUAACUUAAUAGUGUAUUUGUUAUGUUAUAAGUGAAUGUGUAAUAGUAUAGUUUUAAUAUUCAAUUCCAAAUAUUGGAUUCAGGUUAAUAAGAAAAUGUGAUACAGCUCAGCAAUUCAACCAAACAGAGUAACGAAGUUAUCUACUGAUGGCAAACUAGUCGUUUACCUAACAACUGUUGCAAAACUUGGUACUGCAUAUUGUUUAAGUUUGGAAUGUAAACAAAUUACAAAAAGAUUAGAAUGAAUAAAGAAGUGACUACAACAAUCUCAUAUCAAAGAAUGUUUUAUCUGUGAAAUCGAAACAGAUCAUGGAGAAAGGAUCUUAAGAAAAUGAUGACAGUUUAUACAGUUGAUUAAGACUUCAUUUUUGGAGGCCAGUUAGUUGUAGCGGGAUAUAUUUUGGUCUUGACAUUGGAUAACAAGGAACGGACAGUUGCAGGCCAUAAUAAUACACAAAUAAAUGUGAACUACCAUUUUGGAGGUUUUACUUGAGGCAAUUGAAGUGGAGUACCAUUUUGGCAGUGAAAUCUAAUUAAAGUCUAUUCAUCAAAGAAAAAUAGUGAACCAAAACGAUGAUCAGUGCAUGAUCAUCACGUGAAGAUCCCGGGCGAAACGGGAAUUUGCAUUAUAUAUUAUUGGUCCAAAUACGCGGCAACAUUAUAUACCACAAAUAAAAAGACCCGUGGGAAGGGCCAGUGCUGCAUUGUUGCAAAAGCCGCUAGAUUAGGUGUAGUACAGGGACGGCAUUAUAAUACUGCCGUGAGAUUAUUUCUAUUUAUCUGCUUAAUUUUCUUAAACAUGUCUGAUAUGGAUGCAUCUGAUGAAGUUGUCAACGUUAGCUAGACUCUGCCUAAGAAAAGAACUAAAAAGCUUCAUUUUAACGCUAUCGAAUAACAAAUGAUUGUGAAUUUUUAAUUAAAUGCAAGAAAAUGAUGACAAGACGGUUAAUGAGGUUAUUCAUAAAACGGCAAAUAUUUUGGGAGUAUUUUCUUCAAGUUUCUACCAAAUCGUUCGUAAGUACAGUUGCCGACCCAAAAAAGUAUCCAUCAAGAAAAAAAAUUAACAAUUCAAUUGAGAAUUUGUGCAUAAUUUUUUCUUUCAAAAUGAGAUAUCUACAUAAAUAAAAUUUGGAGAGUAGUUAACGAAGAUAAGGACUUCCCGAAUUUUAAAAGAUCAACAUUUUAUGAUUUAUUGAAAGAAAUGAGAUUUCACUUCAAAAAAUAAGGAAGGAACAGUUUAUUAUUAGGAAAAGCAGAAGUAUUUGUGUGGAGGCGAGAAUACCUUAGAAAAAUUAUGAAAUUUCGUGAAGAAAAUAGAAAAAUUCACUAGCAGGAUAAAACAUUGGUAAACGCUGGAUAAGUUUUGGGUGGACUGUUCUAUACAAUCCUCAAGGCAAGCAUUUUUGGAUGGAGUUUCCACCGGAUUAAUAAACCAAUCAGAUAGGAAAAGGACAGAGACUAAUUACUUGUUACAUUGGUACUGAAGAUGGUUUUCUGCCAGAUGCUUUAUGGGUAUUUGAAUAGAAAAAAAACGGAGACUAUCACGAGGAAAUGGAAACAUCAUUUCCUACAGCUUACUGACCACCAGUAUUAUCUAGAUCGAAUAAAUGGGAUAAUAAUAAGAGAAGAUAUUUGCAAAUAAGAGGGUUAAUGCUGCAUGUUGUAAUUCUGGAAUAGAAAGAAAUCAGGAUGACACAAGAGUAAAGAAGUACAGAAUAGACGACAAUGGUUUCCUAUUGAGGGAUAAUCUAUCUGUAAUAUCGAAAGUAGACUUGCAUACAUGAAAAGAAGUAUGAGGAAAAAAUUUUAACAAUUAAUUUAUACUUCAGUUUUGUUUAUUGUAAAUGAAAGGAAAUCGAGGGAAGUUAACGAGUUUAACAAGGAAAAGAAAGUUUUAGGUUUUUCUCGAGGCCACUGUUCUGUUUUUACACUGGGACGGCUCGGCAUAUGGUGUAAAUCUGUAAUUUGAAUAUAUCAAGAUGAAAACAAGAAAUGAAUCAACUACAAUUCCAUCACCAUAUAAUGGAUCUUCGGAUACAGAGCAAAUUAAUGGCUGAGAACAUUGAACAAGUAUGGAAUAUAAAUAAAUUGUAAUACUAAGAGACUAAAAAAAUAUAGAAGCAAGGAUGUCUAAUGACCAGUUGAUUUAAUUAUGAAAGAAAGAUGCGAGUGAAGUUUCUGGAUAGUGCAGAUAGACUAAAAGAAAAAUAAGUUUCAUGUGAAAACCUCCAUAUAGAUUUUUCAGUAUCACGAAUUAUACAUUAAUUCGUAUGGCUCAUAGGUCAUUUUCCAUAAAUAAAAGUUUGGUGGUUUCGUUGUGAAAAUGGAAACAAGUUGGCUUAUGAAGAAUGGGAAAUAACCACCUUCAUAAGAUAAAUACACUCUCCAACAAAUUUACAGCGUAAUUUCAUUAGUUAUAUUUUGGAAUUUAGCUAAACCAAAUAUAUAUAUGUGGAGAUAGAAUUCAACCAGUAUUGUUGGAAAUAGACAUCUUUAAUAAAAUAUGUUAUAAACAGUA